CGUCAAUCUAGCUACUCAACGGUGGAAGAUGUAUCUCAAGUGCACAUGGAAAUUUCUCAAGAUCCAAUGGUUGGGGUGUAUCACAUUCUAUCUCCUACUUUAUCACUUUAUUACCUUUUAUUUCCUACAUACUUAAAACACUCAUCUACAACUCUUUAAAUUCCGUGCUCAAAAGAAACGCACCACUUUGCGCGAGAGGAAGGGAGUAACUUUUUUCUACAAUUAAUACACUCAAUAAUUUUUUUCUUAAAAUUAUAUACUAAACAUUUUUUUUGUUUCGAAUUUAACGGGAAUUGGGAAGUUGGAUAAUUCCUUUGAAAUUUACUGGUGGCUGUCUGAUCAAAAGGCCUCUCCAAAAUUCUCCCCAGUUCGAAGGCCAAGGCCAAAUCGAAUAAUACCACCAACUCCUGAUUGUAGCAUCUGUCUGAUUUGUAGCAUUGAGGUACAACAAUUGAUUGCAGUAAUGGCGGAUCUCAUCGAAGAAGAUGAAAAAAUGGUUGACAUCACUCUGCGAACCAUCGGCCCUUCACCUCGCUCCCGCCUCACCCUCCCCUCUACGCUCAAAGUUAAAGAGUUGAGGAAACUGAUUUCUGGAACUACUCACUUGCCCCUGGAGAAUAUGACACUUGUUUUCCGCGGAAAUGUGUUGCAUGAUAGUACAAAUGGUGAAGACUCAUUGGUCCAACUCCACGAGCGAGAAACUGUGACUGUUGCUAUCAAACCAAAGCCACCUGCUAAGCAUAUCCAAGACAGUUUUGACGAGGAUGAUGGAGAAGAUCUAAAAUUUCAGCUUCCAGAAUCAACCAGCAGGUGGAAGAGGAGACUGUUUUUCACAUUACGUGACAAAUUCAAGCUUCCUGAUAUGCUGUUGAUGGCAAUUUUCUCCCUCAGAACGAAGACGUGGGCAGCCAUUUUAAUAUGGUUCAUCCUGGCACCUGUUGCACAUAGAUUGGGUAUUGGACCUUUAUAUAUACUUGCAACCGGCUUUUUUAUCAUAUUCUACAAUCUUGGGCAUCGACAACCUGGUGAUGUAAGUGCAUAUUCAAUAUUCAAUGAAGAUUUCAGAGAACUUCCUGGAACUCUCAAUGCGGAUCGCCUUGACAGGGACAUUCGACUUGGGCAGUUUUGAGGGCAUCACAAGCCCAAUUUUAUCAGUCUCCUUACAUGAUUUUAUGCAGCAAACAGUUGCAAAAAUCCUCAACCCGUCCCCACAUUGAAGUUCCUGUCAAAUGUUUGUGGGAUUUGGUGAGAUUGAUGGAUAUUUCAUUACAAUGGCUCCCUCUUGUAAGUACGAUAGUUUGCAUAUAAUCAGUUUGGACGAUUCUCUUUCGUAAAUCAGUAAAUGUUUUUUGAGGGAACGUGCAUCAACAACUUAACCCUCGUGUUUUUUUUUUUUUGGGGUGUGUGUGUUGUUUGACGGUGGACUUGAAUCUAAAAUAUUUGACCUCAGACAUUAACUACUUGUCAUUAGACCAACACACAGUCGUCGUGUUUUUACGUUAUGUGCAUAUUACACUCAUCUAAAUUAUGUUGAUUCAUAUGUAUGCUCUUCGUUUAA